rnacentral:lncRNA from 1 species
CUUCUUCUCGCUCUUCUUUUUCUCCUCUCCCUCUCCCUCUCCCUCUCCCUUUUCCUCCUCUUCCUCUUCCUCGGUGAGAGCAGCUCGAAGCUUGCUCCCAGAAAGUUGAACCAAGCUUAAGCUGUUUGAAUCUACCUCCCGCUCCUCUUCUGUGGCAAAGUCCGCAGCCUCAGCGUUUAUCCACUUACUAAUAGUCUGAUUGCUGAAGCUUUGAGGAGUGAUGUCACGCCCUAGAAUUUUCUUUUAUAUAUAAAAAGGUAAAUCAAUAAUUCCUUUUAUAAAAAAAAAUAACACUGAGCAUUAUUUCCAUCUUAGAUCGGACCAAUGCCUGAAUAGUAGAGGCCCUGUAUGAAUAUAUAAAAACUUUCAUAAUACUUCUACCAUCAAAGCCUCAAUUGUUCAUUACCCUUUACCCAACAAUCAGCAUCCACCGCAUGAUGAAUUUAAAAUAGCUAAGUAUCGAUAAAGGGUGUUCAAUACAUUUACAAACAUAUCGCGAAAUAAAUAAAAUUUAUAUUACAUUGCCAAAUAGAGGAUGAUACGAACAUAAAGUGUAAAUUAACAAAAAUAACUUUUCUGAAUAAUACAAUCCACAUAUCAAAUGAUGUUCAUCCAUGUCAUGCCAUCCACAACAAUAAACAAGUCUUCAAUGGCCCUUUUUUCCCUGCAUCUGAAAAAUAUUUAUAAUGAGGGAUGAGCAGAUAACUCAUUAGGACCAUCUUUUACUACAUUUAAAUAGCAUACUUGGUGCCUGUGUCAGUGUAGUUGGGACUAGUCAUGCAUGAUGCCAUCUACAAUACUUAACAAAUACGUUCCACACGUAGGAAGAAUUUGGUAAGUACUUCCGCUCCUCCAUCCUUCGCGCUAGACAGUAAAGUUUCGCGGUUCCCAAUCAAGAAUGGGAGUGCCCCCGUAUACCCCUUUUGGCCAAAGUCUAGGUUUUUGCAAAACACCCGGGUUUACAAGCCCAAUAUAUAUUUGCUCUACCCAUUUUUCUUUCAUAACAACCUUUCUAUACAUAUGUAAAAUUUAACUACCAACACAUCAUAGUCAAAUUGUCAAAUUCUCUAAAUGGGGGCUUUCACCCACAUCACCCACAAUAGUCAUAUCAACUACAUCACAUGCUCACUUUACAUCUAACUAACAAAUAUAUGGCUUGUUAGGCAUCUAUUAACAAUAAAGUAAUUCCUUCUAUAGUUAAUUCCAUAAAAUAACAACACUUUAAAAUUAAUUAUAAGUACAAGAUAACACUAUGGUUCUCUAACACUAAUCAAUUUUUUUUAUUUCAAUGGGUAAAGAAAUCCCUACCAAAUGAUAAAGAGAACCAACCCUAAGUUUGCCAUUUGCGCCAAAUAAGCGGAUCAUUUGAUUGGUGAGAAGGGUUUGAAAGAAUCCCCAACCUUGUAAGUUCCAAAUAUGACUACAAUUUAUGAUUUAAAAAAUAUGAAAAGAAACUCAGAGAUGCACAAACGAAGAGAAGAAGAACGCUUGGAGAAUAGAGAAGGGAAAAAAAACGCACAGAGAAGAGGAGAAAGAGAUGAUUUGGGGGAAGUGAAAUCAUAAUUCAGAUAGAUUGAUAAUUACAUGAGUGGACCCUUAGUGUUAUAGUUAAUAUCACAUUAACCUUAUAAACUUAUUUCUUUCAAAUUUUACCCAUAACCAAUUUAAAAUCACACUAUUUAUUACACACUAAUACCCUUGGGACCCAUACGAUCCCACUCGGGCGCUCCAACAUCCAACUCAGUACCCACAAUUUAUAAAAAAAUAAUAUUAUAUUUAUUACUAUUAAUCUAAAUGAUAAAAUUUUCUUGUGAAUCGUCACAAGUGAGCACGCUGGGCAGGAUCUGGGGCUCUCGAUCUGGAAUAGUGGGCAGGCAAAACUAACGAGCCUCUAGCGGCUCGAUGGGAUGUCAUGUCGUAUUCCAACAAGGUGGCGACGUCAUGAGGUUUGCGGCUGUUGUUGACGUGGCGAAUCACAGCAUUGCACUGCUCGUAACAAACCUUGUAGUGAUUGUUGAAACAUGCAGGACAAACCAACCGAGAUGCAACCUGCUAAAACAUGAUUAGAUAUUCAUAGAAACGAAAUGCAACAGAAGUGUGUGCGCGUGAUCGAGAUAAGAUCUUACUUUAAUCGAUACUGCCAUUGGUUCUCGAGAAAAACCAUAACCUGUUGUCACUAGGCUGAAACUCCCAGUAGAGGUCCUUGUUUGGGUUCUCAGUUACUAGCCUGGAUCAGAGUUGCUGACUGUUCCUCAACCUGGGGUAAUGGUUGCUCGCGAAAAGAUUCGUACCGGCUCCCGCUUCGGUCAAACUACCGUGUAAACAUUCAACAGGCCAGAGGCAGAGAACAAAGCCCCUCCCUUCGCAUAAGAGUAUCGACUGAGAGCACGGUCCUUACGAAGUUUAGACACUUGCAUGAAGGUAAGGCCACAACAAUCCAUCACCUCUUUUAGCAUUGGACUGACUGAGAACCGAAUUCCAGCUUGAUGGAUCAGCCAUG